UUGAACGCUGGCGGUAUGCUUUACACAUGCAAGUCGAACGGAUUAAGAAGCUUGCUUCUUAGUUAGUGGCGAACGGGUGAGUAAUAUAUCGGAACAUAUCCGGAAGUGGGGGAUAACGUAGCGAAAGUUACGCUAAUACCGCAUAUGCCCUGAGGGGGAAAGGGGGGGAUCGCAAGACCUCUCGCUUUCGGAGUGGCCGAUAUCGGAUUAGCUAGUAGGUGAGGUAAAGGCUCACCUAGGCGACGAUCCGUAGCUGGUCUGAGAGGACGACCAGCCACACUGGAACUGAGACACGGUCCAGACUCCUACGGGAGGCAGCAGUGGGGAAUUUUGGACAAUGGGCGAAAGCCUGAUCCAGCCAUACCGCGUGAGUGAAGAAGGCCUUCGGGUUGUAAAGCUCUUUCAGCCGGAAAGAAAUUGCUUCUAUUAAUACUAGGAGUAGAUGACGGUACCGGAAGAAGAAGCACCGGCUAACUACGUGCCAGCAGCCGCGGUAAUACGUAGGGUGCGAGCGUUAAUCGGAAUUACUGGGCGUAAAGCGUGCGCAGGCGGUUUUUUAAGCCAGAUGUGAAAUCCCCGGGCUUAACCUGGGAACUGCAUUUGGAACUGGAAGACUAGAGUAUAGCAGAGGGAGGUAGAAUUCCACGUGUAGCAGUGAAAUGCGUAGAUAUGUGGAGGAAUACCGAUGGCGAAGGCAGCCUCCUGGGUUAAUACUGACGCUCAUGCACGAAAGCGUGGGGAGCAAACAGGAUUAGAUACCCUGGUAGUCCACGCCCUAAACGAUGUCAACUAGGUGUUGGGGGAGGAGACUUCCUUAGUACCGUAGCUAACGCGUGAAGUGACCGC
rnacentral:rRNA from 1 species